rnacentral:rRNA from 1 species
ACGGUUUUGUGGGAGCUUGCUCCUGCAAGAUAGUGGCGGACGGGUGAGUAACACGUGGAUAACCUGCCUCAUACAAAGGAAUAACGCGCAGAAAUGCACGCUAAAACCUUAUAAGCUCACAGCCCGGCAUCGGAGAGUGAGAAAAUAUUUAUAGGUAUGAGAGGGGUCCGCGUCUGAUUAGCUAGUUGGAGGGGUAACGGCCCACCAAGGCGACGAUCAGUAGCCGGCCUGAGAGGGUGAACGGCCACAUUGGGACUGAGACACGGCCCAAACUCCUACGGGAGGCAGCAGUGGGGAAUAUUGCGCAAUGGGGGAAACCCUGACGCAGCAACGCCGCGUGAAGGAAGAAGGCUUUCGGGUUGUAAACUUCUAUCGACGGGGAAGAAAAAAAUGACGGUACCCGAGUAAGAAGCACCGGCUAAAUACGUGCCAGCAGCCGCGGUAAUACGUAUGGUGCAAGCGUUAUCCGGAAUUACUGGGCGUAAAGGGUGAGUAGGCGGUCAAUUAAGUCAUAUGUGAAAAUCCAGGGCUCAACCCUGGACUUGCAUAA